rnacentral:siRNA from 1 species
GAGGAUGGCUUCAAGCUCAGAUUG